UACGUAGGGUGCGAGCGUUAAUCGGAAUUACUGGGCGUAAAGCGUGCGCAGGCGGUGCUGUAAGACAGGCGUGAAAUCCCCGGGCUCAACCUGGGAAUUGCGCUUGUGACUGCAGUGCUGGAGUGCGGCAGAGGGGGAUGGAAUUCCGCGUGUAGCAGUGAAAUGCGUAGAUAUGCGGAGGAACACCGAUGGCGAAGGCAAUCCCCUGGGCCUGCACUGACGCUCAUGCACGAAAGCGUGGGGAGCAAAC
rnacentral:rRNA from 1 species